rnacentral:lncRNA from 10 species
UAAAGAUUUCAGAAACGUGUUGACUUAGAUUUGUGCUUCUUUCUGAAGUUAUUUUAUUGUUACAAAGCAUACAAAUACAUAACUCAGUGCCAAAUAAAGGGAUUCUGAAAGAAACAGAAAGCGGUUUCAAAACUAAGUGAAUGAAUAUGAGUGAAAGGUAAGUAUUAUCACAGGUAUUUUCUUUUUGCAUUGCAAAAACAAAACAAAUCCAAUGUUUAGGGCAAAAAUCAGGGCUCCCCAACAGUAGACCACAAUCUUGCAGAUGCUCAGGCAAUCCCAGAGCCAUGUGGCCCUGUUUUCAGCUCAUGCUCCUUCUGUCCCUGUAGUUUCAUGGGAAGGUGAUGUGGGCAGCACUGCUCCACUGAGCAUUCUCAGGAAUUUCAGUGUUUUUACCCCUUCCCUGCUCAGAGACAGGGCGUGCAUGUUGUCAAUAUCCUUGCUCAUCUUUGCAGACUUACAGCCACACCCUAACUACCAGUAACUUCAAGGAGCUACAUAUGAAUAAUAAAAUAUGUGUCACAGAAAAUUAUUAUGCUUGUGGCUGUGAAAGAUGUCCUCUGGUUUUGGUAGGAGCAGACACCAUCCAGCUAAUCAGUGCUGCAGGAAGAAUGUGUCCCAAUACCUUGAACUUCUCAGAAACCUUGAAAACUUUCUUCUAGAAAGAAGAGUCUAGACUAGGCUGGGAAAAGAUUGGGAUCAGAGGUAAGGUAUUAAAAGGUUAAGCCAGCUCCUCAUUAACCCCACUAGUGCAAGUAGGUGAUGGAGUGUGCAAUUCAGCAAAGCAAGACUCAGAAUCUCAGAGAGGAAGGAGAUCUGAGGACUUGCCUCACCCUCAUGCUUUAUUUUCAGAUAAACAAAGUCAGCUCAGAAACAAAAACAUGACUGUAUUUCAUCAAAUCUAAAAAGUGUCAACUAUCAGACACUUGUUAUUUUAUGUAGUCUUAAGAGUGACACAAAAUGCUGUUAAUAAAAUAGGAUAUGCCAUUGAUUGUGAAACACAUCUCAUUUUUAAAGUGGUAAAAGCAAAAACAAAAGCUUAAAAAAAAAUCUGAUAUGAUUUGGCUGUAUCCCCACUCAAAACUCAUCUUGAAUUAUAACUCCCAUAAUCCCCAUGUGUCGUGAGAGGGACCAGGUGAGAGGUAAUUGAAUCACAGGGUCAGGUUUUUCCCGUGCUGUUCUCAUGAGAGUGAAUAAAUCUCACAAGAUCUCAUGGUUUAAUAAAGGGCAGCUCCCCUGUACACACUCUCUUGCUUACCAUCAUGUAGGACAUGCCUUUGCUCCUUCGCCUUCUGCCAUGAUUGUGAGGCCUCCCUAGCCAUGUGGAACUGUGAGUCCAUUAAACCUCUUUUUCUUUAUAAAUACCCAGUCUUGGAUAUGUCUUUAUUUGCCCUGUGAGAACAGACUAAUACAGUGUCUUAGAAGGGGUAUCUUGAUGAAACAUAGUAAGCAACUUGCCUCCAAAUGCUCACUUCUCAGUCCUUAGGUCUCCUGUUGUUCCCCACUAUGCUCAUGCAGCUUCAUUUCCAAUGAGAAACCUAAAAUCCAGGAGUGAGGAAACUAUCUCAAAGUCACUGAGUGAAGAAGGAGCAGAGCCAGGACUCAUACUAGGCCCCUGAUUCCUUUGUGCUGGCUCCCACAACUCUAUAUUGCCUCUCACUCUAAGGUAUUUAUCUCUUGCUCUGGAAAACAGAGCUAAAUUAGUCAGAGAACAUUUGCCUCCUGAUUAGGUUUAGCUUAUGAUAACAUAAAAAUUAAAUUGCUGCCCUGAACACAUGCAGGCAGGCUGGAAGCAGCCUGGGUAGACAUUUACCAGGGUAAGAGAGGGUCUCUGGAUUUGAAACAUGCUCGGUAAAAUCUAUAAAGCAGGCAAUCCAUGUGCCAGGCAAUUGAAUAGCUAUUUAUCACAGUUAGAUUAGAUGUUUUACUCAAUCUAGACUUACUGGAAUAUGGGAGAGAGGCUGAGAAUAAUUUUAUUUUCUCACAGACCUGGCCCUUCCCUCUGCCACACAGCUAGAGCACUGGGAUUUCUCCACAACAUCUGUGCCACUGCUUAAAUGAUGGAAGUUUGCCAUGUCUGUAACUAAGAGCCUGGCGGCUGACAUGUGAGCCGUCCAGCCUCACAUGGUCCACAACCCCCUCAAACUUGAAAAGAAGGACAGAGCCACACAAGAGGACAGCUCCUUCUGCAGUGCCUCCUCUGGCCUGACUGAAAGGAGACAGCCUCAGAGCUAUGCCUCCAGACGCAUCAUUCCUCUUGCAACACUGACUGUUUUCACAGCAAGAUGGGCCCUUUAGCUCUCCUCAUGAAAUGUGAGGCUGUGUGCCCUCUCUGCCUUCCUCUGACUACAGAGGACCACUGGAUUCCCCAAGGAAAAACCACAAGUUAAAUGACAGCAGAACAAGACUUUACAGGAAUGACAGCACCUGUAUCCUCCACUUGCCCAGGAAGUUUCCGGAAUCCACCUGCUCUAGCCCAUCUGUACCCCAGAUCCCCACUUUUUCUUGCUAUGCAUCUGCAUGCCAUCAUCUAGUUCAGCAAAAGACCUUCUGAAGACUAUCUGCGCAGAAGUCACCUGAAGAUAGUAUUAAUAACUAAGAAACAGUUUUUCAGUCUCAAAUAACUUUCUUCCUUUAUACAAAAAAAGGUUAUUAAAAACAUUUUUACUCCACAAUUUAUCAGUGAGAACUGACUUCAGAACAAUGCCCCUCAUCCAUGAUGAACUGGAAGGUUGAAGCAAACUGUCUUGUUCCUGGAAUCUAGGGGGUGGAAUGAGUGAAGAGGAGCUUACUUUGCUCAAGUGUUAAACAUUGGACUUUUCUUAACAGUCAUAUUAACAAAGUAUCACAAAUUUACUAAUUUUAUUUUACUUUAGUUGUUUGAGUCUCAGUCUCUUUCUAGCUCUUGGUCUUUAGGCAAGUCUAUUCCUAAACUUUCAAGAGAAAUAGAAACUAACCUAGAUUUCUUAUAAGGACAGGUAAUUUUUCCAUUUACUCACUUAACAAAAAAUUAUUCAUUGUGUUUAGUUGCUAGUCACUACCUAUUAAUAGAGUUUUUCUUUUAUUUACUUAUGUUUUAAUUCAACAGAUAUUUACUAAGCUCCUACUAAAUGUCUAGGAACAGAUUAGACCCUAGGGAUAGGGUUUCUACUCUCAUAGAACCUAUAGUCUAAGGAGGAGAUAGAUAUUAAACACAUAAUAAUAAAAAUGAAGUGUAUUAAAAGCUGUGAAGAGAAUCAUAAACAAAAGAUCAAGGAAGGAUGCAAUGUGUGUGUGUGUGUGUGUGUGUGUGCUUUGCCAGGUGUGGAAGGAGUUGAUUUACUUUUUAAGAGUAGAGGUCAGCGAAGGCUUAUCUGAGGGAGCAAUAUUUGCAAAUGAUCUGAAGACUUGAGUAAGCAUUAGCUAAACUGGCUAAAAAGAGGAAAAGUACAGACCAAUGCUGAAAGCAGGGCCUGCAGGAAUGUUCUAGGAACUUAACGUGACAGUGUGUCUGAAGUGGGGGGACUAAUGUGACCUCAUCAAUCAUGCAGGCCAGGCUAAAACCAAGUUUAAGAUUGUGAAUGCUGUUCUCCAGGUAGAGCUCACUGGUAAGCGCUCAGGAGGGCAAGAGCUAAGUAUUAAUAGCUCCUUCCCAUAAAAGAAGAGUAUUAUUUGAACUGUGAAUAUAAUGCUAAUUGACUUGUCCCUCUCUUCCUUAGCUAUCCAUCCCUGCUCCUACACAACCAUGCCCAUGUCUUAAGGAGAAUGAGGCAGCAAACUUUCAGUGUCCACUCAAACUCCCUGACACCACGCACCAUUCCCUAGCGAGGGUCAUUUGCAGUUAAAGACUGAUAUUUCUCUCUGCAGAAGGGAAGAGAUACAUUUGUGUAGAUCAGGUACAACAGUCCCAUUAGCACAUUUGCCUUAGUUCAAGGAUAACUAACUACAAUGAUUGCUGCAAAGAUCUUGUCUUUGUCUACACCUGAUUAUCCCAUUUUUAUUUUUAUUUUUUGGCACGUAGAAAGAUUUGUAAAUUUUAUAAUAUGUAAACAUAUUACAAAAUUUGCCAUUUUAACCAUUUUUAAGAGCUUAAUUGGGUGGCAUUAAUUACAUUCACAAUGUCGUUCAACCAUUGCCACUAUCUAUUUCCAAAACUUUUCAAUCAUCCCAAACAGAAACUCUGUACCAUUAAGCAAUCACUCCUAUUUCUUUCCUCUCCCUAGCCCCUGGCAACCACUAAUCUACUUUCUGUUUCUUUGACUUGCCUAUUCUAGAUAUUUCAUAUAAAUGAAAUCCUAUAAUAUGCGACCUUUUAUGUCUGAUUUCAUUCACUCAGCAAAAUGUUUUUAAAGUUCAUCCAUAUUACAGCAUGGAUCAGAACUAUAUUCCCUUUCAUGAUUAAAUAAUAUUUCACUGCAUGUAUAUACCAUAUUUGGUUAUCUAUUUAUCUGCUGAUGUACAUGGGUUAUUUCUAUAUUUUGGCUAUUGAGAAUAAUGCCGUUAAGAACAUUACCUAAAAGUAUCUGUUUGAAUCGUAUGUUGAAUUCUUUUGGGUUUAAUAUACAUUUUUAAGAAAUAACACAUUUUUAAAAAUUGAAGUAAAAUCCAUGUAAGAUAAAAUUUACCAUUUGUAUUAGUCCAUUUUCACACUGCUAUGAAGAAAUAUCUGAGACUGGGUAAUUUAUAAAGGAAAGAGGUUUGAUUGACUCACAGAUCCGCAUUGCUGGGGAAGCCUCAGAAAAC